UUUGGAGGCUUUGGAUUUGACAAACUCCCUGUACUCUUCGAACCGCGUCAGAAUCUUGGGGCUAUUGUGGAUCUUGAGGAUCCGAUGGAUUUCAGGGGAUUUGGUAGCAGAGUUCCACCCUGCUUUGAAUAUAAUCCGAACGAUGUUGUUCCCGGAAUCGCCGUCUCGGAGCUCGGACACGGCGUGCUUGACCGCUAAAUGCUGCUCGAGUAUGUGCGGCUUCUGGAGGACCUCGCCGCAGACAGUGCAAGGGAAGAUGUCGUUUCGAAGCGGGAAUCGGUCGGCGGAGGAGAUGUCGGAUUCCGGCGACGCGCUGAUCGGAUGAGGCGGAUGAUGACUGAUUUUGGCGGGGAAAACGGCAUCGUUUUCGAUGGCGAUUAAUAAUGAGGAUUUCUGAGAAGAUCUGGCGGAGGUCUGAGCAGGGGAAAUCGGCGGCGGAAGGGGAGGCGGAAGGGAGUUAUAAAUCGAUUUACAGGUAAAAACUCGCUUAAUGUAUGACCAAGAGGAAGAGAGUAGAGGGGAGGAUCGUCUCCGGCGAGACGCUGCCGGAGGAGAAUGGUCGUCCUUGUAGUCGUCGUCGGAUGAUGAUGAUUUGCGUUUUCUUGUGGGGUGGGAAGCUGAUUGGUCACGGGAGAGGAAGACGAAGCAGCCGAGGUGGAGGAGGAUGAGGAAGAGGGAAA
rnacentral:lncRNA from 1 species